GAUGAAGGAGGGGGGAGGGGAGAAUACAUGCAAGUCGAGCGAACAGACGAGGAGCUUGCUCCUCUGACGUUAGCGGCGGACGGGUGAGUAACACGUGGAUAACCUACCUAUAAGACUGGGAUAACUUCGGGAAACCGGAGCUAAUACCGGAUAAUAUAUUGAACCGCAUGGUUCAAUAGUGAAAGACGGUUUUGCUGUCACUUAUAGAUGGAUCCGCGCCGCAUUAGCUAGUUGGUAAGGUAACGGCUUACCAAGGCAACGAUGCGUAGCCGACCUGAGAGGGUGAUCGGCCACACUGGAACUGAGACACGGUCCAGACUCCUACGGGAGGCAGCAGUAGGGAAUCUUCCGCAAUGGGCGAAAGCUUGACGGAGCAACGCCGCGUGAGUGAUGAAGGUCUUCGGAUCGUAAAACUCUGUUAUUAGGGAAGAACAAAUGUGUAAGUAACUAUGCACGUCUUGACGGUACCUAAUCAGAAAGCCACGGCUAACUACGUG
rnacentral:rRNA from 1 species